GGCUACCUGGCGCAAUGGUAGCGCGUUUGGCUUCGAUCGCCGGACGGCUAUUGCCGAAAGAUCACGUGAUCUGUCACCAAAAGGUUGCAGGUUCGAGUCCUGCGGUGGUCA